UACGUAGGGUGCGAGCGUUGUCCGGAAUUACUGGGCGUAAAGGGUGCGUAGGCGGUUGUUUAAGUCUGUCGUGAAAUCCCCGGGCUCAACCUGGGAAUGGCAAUGGAUACUGGCAGGCUAGAGUGUGUCAGAGGAUGGUGGAAUUCCCGGUGUAGCGGUGAAGUGCGUAGAGAUCGGGAGGAACAUCAGUGGCGAAGGCGGCCAUCUGGGACAACACUGACGCUGAGGCACGAAAGCGUGGGGAGCAAACAGG
rnacentral:rRNA from 1 species